CCGCGGCACCAGUUUCCGUGGCGUUCUCCUCGGGAUCAAUCUCCGUAACUGAGCCGACCUUCACACCAGUUUCGGCAUCUUCAGCAGAUUCCGGAGAUCCCCUCAGUCUCCGGUUGUGGGCAGCUUCCGUUUCGUCCAUAUUUCCAGUUGUUUCUGUCAGUCCCUCGGAAGCGGGGGUGGGGGCUGCAGCAUCCGCAUUCUCACUCAGCAGGGCAACCUCCUCUGCGUCCGGAAGAUCAGCUUCACUGUUGUCCGAGACAACGACCUCCUCUGCACCGAGCAAUCUUGCGGGGGUGUCGGCGAACUCGGCGGUCUCGACUUCUUCACCGGCUUCAAGACUUGUUGCCUCGCGCGCCAGCACUCUCUCCGAUGCAUCAGGAGCCACAAAUGACUCCGCACCUUCAACGGCGACAGCCUCUUCGGCGCUUGCGGCGUCUGUGGCAUUGUCAGACUCAGCGGGUAUCACACCCGCGUCCGCCGUGAGAGUUGUCUUGUCGCUUUCGGUGCUUGUUUCGUUUUCUGAUUCAUUGCUGAUAGGUUCAACUUCAGUGUUUGUGUCCAGUCUGCGACUUGCUGCAGCUGGCUCUGCAUCGUCUGUCUUAUUUUCCUCAUCGGCUGUGCUCUCAACUGGAAUCUCUUUCUCAACGACUUCUGCCACUUGGCGUUCUUGAGUGCUGGAAGGUGCGGCGACUGUAUAUUCCUCUUCACCAGCAAGCGAAUUUUCGAGAAG
rnacentral:lncRNA from 1 species